rnacentral:lncRNA from 1 species
CCGAGACCUGCUCUCUUCCCAUGCGCCUGUUGGGUAACCACCAGAGAAGACUGCUCAGGCAUGAAUCGAGAACAAGCGUCCUGCUGUUGGCAAGAGGAGAGAGCAGUCAACAGAACGCUGAAGAUUCCGAGGCUGGUUCCCAUGAUGCCAUCUGACCACUUGCACCCCAGUCCUCGCUAUCCCUCCAGGGCAUCUUAUCGCAGCCUUGAUGGAGUCUGCACCUUGGCUGCAAAGGGAACACAAACUUCCUCAAGCAACGCAGUGCUGCAGACACAAGAGCCGCUUUCGCUCCAGAUGGGAUCCAAGGCAACUGCUGUGUAGAAACUUCCCUUGGCUUCACUGGUCUUUUCUUUUCUUCUUAUUUUUCCCCCUCCCUCUGUUUCUGCCAAGUUGUUGAUGUCCUGGCUGUCUGGAAAAGACUGCAUUUGAGCAACCAGAGACAACCAGCCUCUUAAGAACGACUACAGCAAGGAAUCUCGUUCUUAGAAAAUUAGUUUGUGCUGCUGUGUUGAUCCUACUGAAAGAAGGGGUGAGGGGAAGACCCUCAAGGCUAAUUUAUAUAAACACACAGUGGGACUAUGAGUCUGCUAGCAUUCCUGUGACUGUCUGAAGUGCGGGUGUGGCUGACAGCAGUGGUCGUUCUAAUUUUAAUUUAGAGACUGAAGGUUUGGGGUGGAUGCAGGAAAAAUAUAAUUAGGGGCUUGCUUUUGUA